CGCGGGGUGGAGCAGCUCGGUAGCUCGCUGGGCUCGUAACCCAGAGGUCGCAGGUUCACAUCCUGUCUCCGCUA
rnacentral:tRNA from 1 species